rnacentral:rRNA from 1 species
ACGAACUCUGGUAUUGAUUGGUGCUUGCAUCAUGAUUUACAUUUGAGUGAGUGGCGAACUGGUGAGUAACACGUGGGAAACCUGCCCAGAAGCGGGGGAUAACACCUGGAAACAGAUGCUAAUACCGCAUAACAACUUGGACCGCAUGGUCCGAGCUUGAAAGAUGGCUUCGGCUAUCACUUUUGGAUGGUCCCGCGGCGUAUUAGCUAGAUGGUGGGGUAACGGCUCACCAUGGCAAUGAUACGUAGCCGACCUGAGAGGGUAAUCGGCCACAUUGGGACUGAGACACGGCCCAAACUCCUACGGGAGGCAGCAGUAGGGAAUCUUCCACAAUGGACGAAAGUCUGAUGGAGCAACGCCGCGUGAGUGAAGAAGGGUUUCGGCUCGUAAAACUCUGUUGUUAAAGAAGAACAUAUCUGAGAGUAACUGUUCAGGUAUUGACGGUAUUUAACCAGAAAGCCACGGCUAACUACGUGCCAGCAGCCGCGGUAAUACGUAGGUGGCAAGCGUUGUCCGGAUUUAUUGGGCGUAAAGCGAGCGCAGGCGGUUUUUUAAGUCUGAUGUGAAAGCCUUCGGCUCAACCGAAGAAGUGCAUCGGAAACUGGGAAACUUGAGUGCAGAAGAGGACAGUGGAACUCCAUGUGUAGCGGUGAAAUGCGUAGAUAUAUGGAAGAACACCAGUGGCGAAGGCGGCUGUCUGGUCUGUAACUGACGCUGAGGCUCGAAAGUAUGGGUAGCAAACAGGAUUAGAUACCCUGGUAGUCCAUACCGUAAACGAUGAAUGCUAAGUGUUGGAGGGUUUCCGCCCUUCAGUGCUGCAGCUAACGCAUUAAGCAUUCCGCCUGGGGAGUACGGCCGCAAGGCUGAAACUCAAAGGAAUUGACGGGGGCCCGCACAAGCGGUGGAGCAUGUGGUUUAAUUCGAAGCUACGCGAAGAACCUUACCAGGUCUUGACAUACUAUGCAAAUCUAAGAGAUUAGACGUUCCCUUCGGGGACAUGGAUACAGGUGGUGCAUGGUUGUCGUCAGCUCGUGUCGUGAGAUGUUGGGUUAAGUCCCGCAACGAGCGCAACCCUUAUUAUCAGUUGCCAGCAUUAAGUUGGGCACUCUGGUGAGACUGCCGGUGACAAACCGGAGGAAGGUGGGGAUGACGUCAAAUCAUCAUGCCCCUUAUGACCUGGGCUACACACGUGCUACAAUGGAUGGUACAACGAGUUGCGAACUCGCGAGAGUAAGCUAAUCUCUUAAAGCCAUUCUCAGUUCGGAUUGUAGGCUGCAACUCGCCUACAUGAAGUCGGAAUCGCUAGUAAUCGCGGAUCAGCAUGCCGCGGUGAAUACGUUCCCGGGCCUUGUACACACCGCCCGUCACACCAUGAGAGUUUGUAACACCCAAAGUCGGUGGGGUAACCUUUU